rnacentral:rRNA from 1 species
ACUCCUACGGGAGGCAGCAGUAGGGAAUCUUCCGCAAUGGACGAAAGUCUGACGGAGCAACGCCGCGUGAGUGAUGAAGGUUUUCGGAUCGUAAAGCUCUGUUGUUAGGGAAGAACAAGUACCGUUCGAACAGGGCGGUACCUUGACGGUACCUAACCAGAAAGCCACGGCUAACUACGUGCCAGCAGCCGCGGUAAU